GGUGGGCUCCAGGCGUCGCGAUGGAGGAGAGCGGGUACGAGUCGGUGCUGUGUGUCAAGCCUGAUGUCCACGUCUACCGCAUCCCUCCGCGAGCUACCAACCGUGGCUACAGGGCCGCGGAGUGGCAGCUGGACCAGCCAUCAUGGAGUGGCCGGCUGAGGAUCACUGCAAAGGGACAGAUGGCCUACAUCAAGUUGGAGGACAGGACGUCAGGGGAGCUCUUUGCUCAGGCCCCGGUGGAUCAGUUUCCUGGCACAGCUGUGGAGAGUGUGACGGAUUCCAGCAGGGCGACGGGCGUUUAUUGGAAUUGGCUUCGGGGACCGAGGUGAUGCCUUUGACUUCAAUGUUGCAUUGCAGGACCAUUUCAACAGAGACUCAGGAGAACCCAGGGCAAGCCACCUCUCUGCUCUGCCAAUGCUCAUCUCUGCUGUAAAGCCUUCUCUUUUACCUGAGGCCCGUCUCUACCAUCC
rnacentral:sRNA from 1 species